AACGUAGCCAAAUUUGAAAGCUGUCGCAGCAGACGCAGAAACUGAAAGGGGCAGUUAUUGACAAUGCUAAACGAACCCCGGAAGGAAAUGGGUGAGAUCGGUGCGGAACUUGGUAUUGAAGAUCAGAGUAAAUCUCCGAUCUUCUUACAAGAAGAUUACGACGUGGCGAAUACUAACGUGGUGCGAUCGGAAGGCUAUGCGACCAUGUUCAUCGAUCCAGAUGUUAUAGAAUUUUUUCUCAGAGCUGACUCAAUAAAGGAUAGCGCGGAAGAAGUUAAAACUAGUAUUUCGAAGCGUAUUGAUUAUUUGUUGCAGGUUGUGAAAUCUAAGAUUCAAGGCGAAAAGAAUAUAUCCGUCCAUGAACUUCUAGAUAAGAGGGAUGACAUGUAUACUAUGUCAGCGGAAAUACUUGUUAAAUGUGGCUCAUUGCAGAAGUAUGAAGAAAUCAGGAACAUAGUUGUAGAGAAAUUGGGAGGAACUGUCUUCGUCAGCGAACCCAGACAUUAUCAUACGCACAGGUGUUUGCAGGACGCGAGCACUCUCUAAACACGACAGAGGAUAUGAGUCAGGCAGGGACGUGUUUCCCUUCUGUUUUGGUGGCCUCCCCAUCAUCGCAUGAGGCCUAGGUGAUGGAAGGUCACAUGCACUUUUGCUGAUCUCCCAUUCCAGCCUCAAGUUCAUUAGUAUGUUAUUAUUUUGGUAUCAUGCUGUUGCAGGAAUGUCACUGGAUCAGGAAUUUUCUUUCGUGAUUUUGGGGAAGUAAUUAACUCAGUUUUUCUAUUAUCGCAAAGUCCUUGUGUGCAUGUGACAAAAUCCUUUGGGCAAACUGAACACUGAGUUUCUUGGUUUCUUUAAAAAAAAGUGGGUUUAAUUGUCAUUACCACUUCAAUAGUGUUUUAGGGGCCUAGUAGUUUAUUUAAGUACUCAACUUGAUUAAUGUGUAACAGCCUUGUGGCUAAUCAAUGAAGUGUUACUGUUUGCUUCGGUUUUUACACAUGGGUAGUGCUUUGCCAGCUUGGCCAUAUCUUGUCUAUGUGGGAGCAGAAUAACAUUGUCAUAUGACACCAAAGUGUUGUCAUUUGUCUUACACUCGCUAAUAUUGUCAGUAAAAAGAUGAUUUACAAUGAUUGUUUGCCUUCUAGUGGUGAGAUGGCUAAUGGACUUUGGAUACCAAUAUUAUAUGUACCUGUGCCUAAUUCCUUGCCUUGGAGUAGGCCUAGAGUUUACUAUUGCAGUGGCGAUGUAUGCAUUUUAAUGUCUUUCAUUUAACAUUUGUUGAACUUAUAUUCAAGUCCUUGUGGGUUUAACCCACAGUUGUGAUGCUAGUCACAUGGACAGACUGCUGCUGCAGGUUUAUUUAAUUAAUUAACUGUUUGAAGUCAGGCCACCAUUGGAUUGCACAGUUAAACUGUU